GACGAACCGAGCGACCGUUGUUCGGAAUCACUGGGCUUAAAGGGCGCGUAGGCGGCUUGUCAAGUCAGGGGUGAAAUCUUUCGGCUCAACCGGAAAAGUGCCCUUGAUACUGACAGGCUUGAGGGAGGUAGGGGCAUGUGGAACUUCUGGUGGAGCGGUGAAAUGCGUUGAUAUCAGAAGAAACGCCGGUGGCGAAAGCGACGUGCUGGACCUCUUCUGACGCUGAGGCGCGAAAGCUAGGGGAGCAAACGGG
rnacentral:rRNA from 1 species